AUUUAUUGGGUGGCUAUAAAGAUGAAGAUUUAGUCUCCAACUUUUUUUUCCAGCUUUAAUCUAAAUUGGAGAAAAAAGACAAUUUUAGCCUUUAGCCUAGGAGUAAAGUAACUAACAGGAUCUUUUUGGGGUUUUAGGCAGAGGUGGCAAAAUUACUCAAAUUCUUUACUUAAGUAGAAGUACAGAUACUUGAGUAAAAAAAGA
rnacentral:misc_RNA from 1 species